rnacentral:rRNA from 1 species
GAUGAACGCUAGCUACAGGCUUAACACAUGCAAGUCGCGGGGCAGCAUGGGGGUUGCUUGCAAUCCCCGAUGGCGACCGGCGCACGGGUGAGUAACGCGUAUCCAACCUGCCCUUCACCACGGGAUAACCCGGCGAAAGUCGGACUAAUACCGUAUGUUGUCCAUUGACGGCAUCCGAUUUGGACGAAAGGUUUGGCGGGGAAGGAUGGGGAUGCGUCCGAUUAGCUGGACGGCGGGGUGACGGCCCACCGUGGCGACGAUCGGUAGGGGUUCUGAGAGGAAGGUCCCCCACACUGGAACUGAGACACGGUCCAGACUCCUACGGGAGGCAGCAGUGAGGAAUAUUGGUCAAUGGGCGUAAGCCUGAACCAGCCAAGUAGCGGGCAGGAUGACGGCCCUAUGGGUUGUAAACUGCUUUUAUGCGGGGAUAAAGUGGCCCACGUGUGGGUUUUUGCAGGUACCGCAUGAAUAAGGACCGGCUAAUUCCGUG